GAUGAACGCUGGCGGCGUGCCUAAUACAUGCAAGUCGAGCGAACGGACGAGAAGCUUGCUUCUCUGAUGUUAGCGGCGGACGGGUGAGUAACACGUGGAUAACCUACCUAUAAGACCGGGAUAACUUCGGGAAACCGGAGCUAAUACCGGAUGAUAUUUUGAACCGCAUGGUUCAAAAGUGAAAGACGGUCUUGCUGCCACUUAUAGAUGGAUCCGCGCUGCAUUAGCUAGUUGGUAAGGUAACGGCUUACCAAGGCAACGAUGCAUAGCCGACCUGAGAGGGUGAUCGGCCACACUGGAACUGAGACACGGUCCAGACUCCUACGGGAGGCAGCAGUAGGGAAUCUUCCGCAAUGGGCGAAAGCCUGACGGAGCAACGCCGCGUGAGUGAUGAAGGUCUUCGGAUCGUAAAACUCUGUUAUUAGGGAAGAACAUAUGUGUAAGUAACUGUGCACAUCUUGACGGUACCUAAUCAGAAAGCCACGGCUAACUACGUG
rnacentral:rRNA from 1 species